rnacentral:lncRNA from 10 species
GGUCGGGAGUUUGAGACCAGCCUGGCCAGCAUGGUGAAACUCUGUCUUUACUAAAAAUACAAAAGCCGGGCAUGGUGGUACACGCCUGUAGUCCCAGGUACUCAGGAGGCUAAGGCAGGAGAAUCGCUUGAAACCAGUGCAGUGAGCUGAGAUUGUGCCACUUGUUCAGACUGGGCGAAGGGCAUACUGUGUUUCAAAAAA